rnacentral:misc_RNA from 1 species
GAUGAAGAACGUAGCGAAAUGCGAUAAGUAAUGUGAAUUGCAGAAUUCAGUGAAUCAUCGAAUCUUUGAACGCACAUUGCGCCCCUUGGUAUUCCGGGGGGCAUGCCUGUUCGAGCGUCAUUUCAACCCUCAAGCUCUGCUUGGUAUUGGGCACCGUCCUUUGCGGGCGCGCCUCAAAGACCUCGGCGGUGGCGUCUUGCCUCAAGCGUAGUAGAAUACACCUCGCUUCGGAGCGUAAGGCGUCGCCCGCCGGACGAACCUUCUGAACUUUUCUCAAGGUUGACCUCGGAUCAGGUAGGGAUACCCGCUGAACUUAAGCAUAUCAAUAGCGGAGGA